AGUGAACGCUGGCGGCAGGCCUAACACAUGCAAGUCGAACGGCAGCACAGUAAGAGUUUGCUCUUACGGGUGGCGAGUGGCGGACGGGUGAGGUAUACAUCGGAAUCUACUCUUUCGUGGGGGAUCACGUAGGGAAGCUUACGCUAAUACCGCAUACGACCUACGGUUGAAAGCAGGGGAUCUUCUGACCUUGCGCGAUUGAAUGAGCCGAUGUCGGAUUAGCUAGUUGGCGGGUUAAUGGCCCACCAAGGCGACGAUCCGUAGCUGGUCUGAGAGGAUGAUCAGCCACACUGGAACUGAGACACGGUCCAGACUCCUACGGGAGGCAGCAGUGGGGAAUAUUGGACAAUGGGCGCAAGCCUGAUCCAGCCAUACCGCGUGGGUGAAGAAGGCCUUCGGGUUGUAAAGCCCUUUUGUUGGGAAAGAAAAGCAGCAGGUUAAUACCCCGCUGUUCUGACGGUACCCAAAGAAUAAGCACCGGCUAACUUCGUG
rnacentral:rRNA from 1 species